UUUCAAAGAAUUACCUCUUCUACAAGAUCCCCAUCAAUUCCUCUAACAAGUUCACACAGAUUGUUUUCAGUAAAUGAUUCAUUGAUCAAGAAACUGAUGUCCUUGUAACAAGGAGGAUACUUCUUUUCUUCAAAGUU